UACGGAGGGUGCGAGCGUUGUCCGGAAUCACUGGGCGUAAAGGGCGCGUAGGCGGCCUGGCAAGUCGAUGGUGAAAGCCCGAGGCUCAACUUCGGGUCGGCCACUGAUACUGCUGGGCUUGAGUCGACUAGAGGCAGAUGGAAUUCCGGGUGUAGCGGUGGAAUGCGUAGAGAUCCGGAAGAACACCGGUGGCGAAGGCGGCGAGCUGGUCCAUUACUGACGCUGAGGCGCGAUAGCGUGGGGAGCAACAGGAUUA
rnacentral:rRNA from 1 species